ensembl:lncRNA
CUUGAUUUUGUCUGGAAUUAGCUACAGAUUAAUCUGGUGAUUGAGCACCUGGUGGGAAGGCAGGGCCAACCCAGGGGAGCUCAGGUGUAUGCAGUGUACCUGAGUGAAGGAGUAGAGCCAGCAUCCAUCCCUUUCCAGACCUCAUCUAAGGGUUGGCAGUGGAGGUGAGGGCAUCUUGUUGGAGAUCUCUGUGUACCUGAGCCCUUCUAAGGGUGAUAGAAAUGCGACUCCCUGAAGAGACAUAUUUUCCGUCUGAGCCCACCCUCAAUCUAAACAGUGACUCACAGAAGAAGACAAUUUACCUAUAACAAAAG